GCGGGCAUGGCGAAAUUGGUAAACGCGCUGGUCUUAGGAGCCAGUGGAAUUUUCCCUGCGGGUUCGAGUCCCACUGCCCGCACCA
rnacentral:tRNA from 1 species